GUAAACCUCAGGUUCUCCUCCUGCCUUUUGCUAAGUAUAUGUCUUGAUGACAAGCCUUCUGCUGAUGAGCUGUGUUUCUGGACCGAUCAUGGUAGAAGUCAAUUAACGUGUCCCUCACUUGGGGUUUCUCAAGGGAACUGAAAAUGAAAGAACCAAAAUAGAUAUCAACAGAUAAUUAAAAGAACGUUUGGAAGUUUUUUACCUCAUGCAGACCUCAAACUCUGAACCACUACUGCCUAAAGGAAAUAAAUACUGUGUUAUGACUUUGAAAAAGUGAAGUGGCCAUGUUAGGAGGCCCAGAUGGUAAGGAGCUGAGGGAGGCCUCCAGGAAAUGGCCAGCAAGAAGCCGGCUCCCUCAGCCUUGUAGCUACAAGAAAAUGAAUUCUGCCAGCAAUCUGAGUGAACUUGGAAGCUGAUUCUUCCUCUGUCAAGCCUCCAGAUGAGAAUCUCAGUCACAGCCAACACCUUGACUGCAGUCCUUAGCAGAGGACUCUGCCAAGCUGUGCCAGGACUCCUGACCUGCAGAAAUUGUGAGUACCAACUCACUGAGCUUUUAUGAGGAUGAACUGAAUUAAUAUCUGCAAAGUGCUUAGAAUACAACCUGGCACACAGCAAAUACCAUGCCUUUGUUUGGGUCACAGAGUAUCUUGAAUGCAGAGCUCACACAGGUUGUGAUAGGCUUUACUUCUAUCACUAACUGGAAACAAAGAAAAUCUACACUGAAGGAAACCUUUUCAAGUCGAACUUCUGUCAAGCAAUUGGAGGAGCAUGUGGUUUUGUGGUCAUGUGGAUUCGCUAUAUGGAAUAUGAUUGAAGGAUGAUUAUAAUUACAGAAAUUAUAGAGAUAUGACAGAGCAAGAUAUGGUCCCUGACUCAUGGAUCUUACAUUAAUAUUGGAAAGAAGCCUAUUAAACUCUCCAUCCGAUCAGCUUCAAUUUCAGCUAUUAGCUUUACUUUCUACUGUCUUUUUCAAGUCAAGAUCAAAUGGAGAGCAAAGGGAGUGCACCUUUCCUCUGCAGUUCCAUCACUGUUCAACAUAAUCAUCUCUACCUACCUUUCAGAACAAUUCUGAAUAUUAAUAAGACAAUGUCUAUGAGAUGAACUCAUCUGGGAAAGCAUA
rnacentral:lncRNA from 1 species